rnacentral:misc_RNA from 1 species
AGCAGCCGCGGUAAUUCCAGCUCCAAUAGCGUAUAUUAAAGUUGUUGCAGUUAAAAGCUCGUAGUUGAAUUUUGGGUCUGGCCGGGCGGUCCGCCCUCUGGGUGAGCACUGUUCCGACGCCGGGCCUAUCCUUCUGGUGAGUCGGCAUGUCCUUUAUUGGGUGUGCCGGGGAACCAGGACCAUUACCUUGAAAAAUUAGAGUGUUCAAAGCAGGCGUAUGCUCGGAUACAUUAGCAUGGAAUAAUGAAAUAGGACGCGUGGUGCUAUUUUGUUGGUUUCUAGAACCGCCGUAAUGAUUAAUAGGGAUAGUUGGGGGCAUUAGUAUUCAAUUGUCAGAGGUGAAAUUCUUGGAUUUAUUGAAGACUAACUUCUGCGAAAGCAUUUGCCAAGGAUGUUUUCAUUAAUCAAGAGCGAAAGUUAGGGGAUCGAAGACGAUCAGAUACCGUGUAGUCUUAACCAUAAACUAUAGCCACUAGGAAUCGGGCAUGUUAUUCUCAUGACUCGCCCGGUCCG